rnacentral:rRNA from 1 species
AUGAACGGGGCCGUGCUUCGCACCGGAGAGGGCCAUUUCCGGGUCGUCUUGGUAGGCCACGACGAGCAUCACACGCAGGCGCUCGCCUGCGUUUACUCAUCGCAGACCCGUCAAUGGGGCGGUGUCAUCUCGGCACCGAUACCACCUGUUGUUUCUAUAGUGACGGAAAUUCCAGGUGUCCUGGUUGGGGAUUCCAUUUACUGGUUGUCUUCUAGGAAUCCGGAUCAUCCGACUCCCAUUCUUGAGUUCAAUUUGGGUACACUGAGCCUAGCCGCGAUACAGCUCCCGGUGAAUAUGUAUGGCCAGGGGAAUCACAGCCUCUGGGUUAUGAGGGCACAGGAUGAUGGGCUUGGAUUCCUCUUCCUGUGGGGCACCGACGCGCAACUAUGGAAGAGGACGAAGAAUGGCGGUGAUGAUGCUGCUAAUUCAUGGACGAUCGCAAAGACUAUUCAAAUGGACAAGCUACUGUCCUUGAACACAGAGGAGGAGAAAAGGAGCCUGUCGAUAGAAGGGCUUGUUGAAGACCGAAAUGUGGUGUUCUUCAGAACAGCUAUCGGUCACUUUAUGGUGCAUCUUGAGUCACUCUGGUCAUUGAGGUGCAAGGAACUUUCCGAAACCCACAUCAUACAUGUGUUUCAUCCAUUCUCAAGUGUCUACACAGCAGCAGAUAAUAGCACAUCUUCAUGA